rnacentral:rRNA from 1 species
CGAACGCUGGCGGCGUGCUUAACACAUGCAAGUCGCACGGAAAGGCCUCAGCUUGCUGGGGUACUCGAGUGGCGAACGGGUGAGUAACACGUGGGUGAUCUGCCUUGCACUCUGGGAUAAGCUUGGGAAACUGGGUCUAAUACCGGAUAUGAACUGCCUUUAGUGUGGUGGUUGGAAAGUUUUUUCGGUGCAAGAUGAGCUCGCGGCCUAUCAGCUUGUUGGUGGGGUAAUGGCCUACCAAGGCGUCGACGGGUAGCCGGCCUGAGAGGGUGUACGGCCACAUUGGGACUGAGAUACGGCCCAGACUCCUACGGGAGGCAGCAGUGGGGAAUAUUGCACAAUGGGCGGAAGCCUGAUGCAGCGACGCCGCGUGGGGGAUGACGGCCUUCGGGUUGUAAACUCCUUUCGACAGGGACGAAGCUUUUUGUGACGGUACCUGUAGAAGAAGCACCGGCUAACUACGUG